rnacentral:misc_RNA from 1 species
UCGCUAGUAAUCGCGGAUCAGCAUGCCGCGGUGAAUACGUUCCCGGGCCUUGUACACACCGCCCGUCUCGCUAGUAAUCGCGGAUCAGCAUGCCGCGGUGAAUACGUUCCCGGGCCUUGUACACACCGCCCGUCACACCACGAGAGUUUGUAACACCCGAAGUCGGUGGGGUAACCGUAAGGAGCCAGCCGCCUAAGGUGGGACAGAUGAUUGGGGUGAAGUCGUAACAAGGUAGCCGUAUCGGAAGGUGCGGCUGGAUCACCUCCUUUCUAAGGAAAAUGAGGCACACUUGGUUUUUGUUUAGUUUUGAGAGAUCAUUCUUCUCUCUAUGAAAAUACUCAUAGGAUGAAAACAUUCUGCAUACGUUAGGUUCCUUUUUUAAAGGUACACCUGCUAAAUGCGCCACGUCCUGUGGCAACGCAUGCGUUAGCACAUCCUGUGCGUCAUGUUCCUUGAAAACUAGAUAACGAUAAUAUUCAAGUAAUUCACUGAGUUUAAAUGCUUAAAUUAGUGAUUCUCUUAAUAAUGAAAAGACAUGAAAAUGUCGAAGGUUAAGUUGUUAAGGGCGCACGGUGGAUGCCUUGGCACUAGGAGCCGAUGAAGGACGGGACUAACACCGAUAUGCAAAAAGGGCGCACGGUGGAUGCCUUGGCACUAGGAGCCGAUGAAGGACGGGACUAACACCGAUAUGCC